rnacentral:rRNA from 1 species
UCGGCUCAAGCCGAUGGAAGUUUGAGGCAAUAACAGGUCUGUGAUGCCCUUAGAUGUUCUGGGCCGCACGCCCGCUACACUGACAGAGCCAGAGAGUACUCCCUUGGCCGGAAGGGCCGGGUAAUCUUGUUAAACUCCGUCGUGCUGGGGAUAGAGCAUUGCAAUUAUUGCUCUUCAACGAGGAAUCCCUAGUAAGCGCAAGUCAUCAGCUUGCGUUGAUUACGUCCCUGCCCUUUGUACACACCGCCCGUCGCUACUACCGAUUGAAUGGCUAAAA